ensembl:snRNA U6 U6 spliceosomal RNA
UGCACUGGCUUGGGCAGUGGGUGAUAAUUGAAAAGGAUGUGGAGAAAAUUGGCUUUGCCCCUGCUCAAGAGUGACACCCAAACUUGUGAAGCGUUCCAUAUUUUG